rnacentral:rRNA from 1 species
GGGUUGUGAGGUUAAGCGACUAAGCGUACACGGUGGAUGCCCUGGCAGUCAGAGGCGAUGAAGGACGUGCUAAUCUGCGAAAAGCGUCGGUAAGGUGAUAUGAACCGUUAUAACCGGCGAUGUCCGAAUGGGGAAACCCAGUGUGAUUCGUCACACUAUCGUUAACUGAAUACAUAGGUUAACGAGGCGAACCGGGGGAACUGAAACAUCUAAGUACCCCGAGGAAAAGAAAUCAACCGAGAUUCCCCCAGUAGCGGCGAGCGAACGGGGAGCAGCCCAGAGUCUGAAUCAGCUUGUGUGUUAGUGGAACGGUCUGGAAAGUCCGACGGUACAGGGUGAUAGUCCCGUACACCAAAAUGCACAGGUUGUGAACUCGAAGAGUAGGGCGGGACACGUGGUAUCCUGUCUGAAUAUGGGGGGACCAUCCUCCAAGGCUAAAUACUCCUGACUGACCGAUAGUGAACCAGUACCGUGAGGGAAAGGCGAAAAGAACCCCGGCGAGGGGAGUGAAAAAGAACCUGAAACCGUGUACGUACAAGCAGUGGGAGCACCUUCGGGUGUGACUGCGUACCUUUUGUAUAAUGGGUCAGCGACUUAUAUUCUGUAGCAAGGUUAACCGUAUAGGGGAGCCGCAGGGAAACCGAGUCUUAACUGGGCGUUAAGUUGCAGGGUAUAGACCCGAAACCCGGUGAUCUAGCCAUGGGCAGGUUGAAGGUUGGGUAACACUAACUGGAGGACCGAACCGACUAAUGUUGAAAAAUUAGCGGAUGACUUGUGGCUGGGGGUGAAAGGCCAAUCAAACCGGGAGAUAGCUGGUUCUCCCCGAAAGCUAUUUAGGUAGCGCCUCGUGAAUUCAUCUUCGGGGGUAGAGCACUGUUUCGGCUAGGGGGUCAUCCCGACUUACCAACCCGAUGCAAACUACGAAUACCGAAGAAUGUUAUCACGGGAGACACACGGCGGGUGCUAACGUCCGUCGUGAAGAGGGAAACAACCCAGACCGCCAGCUAAGGUCCCAAAGUCAUGGUUAAGUGGGAAACGAUGUGGGAAGGCACAGACAGCCAGGAUGUUGGCUUAGAAGCAGCCAUCAUUUAAAGAAAGCGUAAUAGCUCACUGGUCGAGUCGGCCUGCGCGGAAGAUGUAACGGGGCUAAACCAUGCACCGAAGCUGCGGCAGCGACACUAUGUGUUGUUGGGUAGGGGAGCGUUCUGUAAGCCUGCGAAGGUGUGCUGUGAGGCAUGCUGGAGGUAUCAGAAGUGCGAAUGCUGACAUAAGUAACGAUAAAGCGGGUGAAAAGCCCGCUCGCCGGAAGACCAAGGGUUCCUGUCCAACGUUAAUCGGGGCAGGGUGAGUCGACCCCUAAGGCGAGGCCGAAAGGCGUAGUCGAUGGGAAACAGGUUAAUAUUCCUGUACUUGGUGUUACUGCGAAGGGGGGACGGAGAAGGCUAUGUUAGCCGGGCGACGGUUGUCCCGGUUUAAGCAUGUAGGCUGAUUGUCCAGGCAAAUCCGGAUAAUCAAGGCUGAGGUGUGAUGACGAGGCACUACGGUGCUGAAGUAACAAAUGCCCUGCUUCCAGGAAAAGCCUCUAAGCAUCAGGUAACAUUAAAUCGUACCCCAAACCGACACAGGUGGUCAGGUAGAGAAUACCAAGGCGCUUGAGAGAACUCGGGUGAAGGAACUAGGCAAAAUGGUGCCGUAACUUCGGGAGAAGGCACGCUGGUGUGUAGGUGAAGUCCCUGCGGAUGGAGCUGAGACCAGUCGAAGAUACCAGCUGGCUGCAACUGUUUAUUAAAAACACAGCACUGUGCAAACACGAAAGUGGACGUAUACGGUGUGACGCCUGCCCGGUGCCGGAAGGUUAAUUGAUGGGGUUAUCCGUAAGGAGAAGCUCUUGAUCGAAGCCCCGGUAAACGGCGGCCGUAACUAUAACGGUCCUAAGGUAGCGAAAUUCCUUGUCGGGUAAGUUCCGACCUGCACGAAUGGCGUAAUGAUGGCCAGGCUGUCUCCACCCGAGACUCAGUGAAAUUGAACUCGCUGUGAAGAUGCAGUGUACCCGCGGCAAGACGGAAAGACCCCGUGAACCUUUACUAUAGCUUGACACUGAACAUUGAGCCUUGAUGUGUAGGAUAGGUGGGAGGCUUUGAAGCGUGGACGCCAGUCUGCGUGGAGCCAACCUUGAAAUACCACCCUUUAAUGUUUGAUGUUCUAACGUUGGCCCCUGACCGGGGUUGCGGACAGUGUCUGGUGGGUAGUUUGACUGGGGCGGUCUCCUCCCAAAGCGUAACGGAGGAGCACGAAGGUUAGCUAAUCCUGGUCGGACAUCAGGAGGUUAGUGCAAUGGCAUAAGCUAGCUUGACUGCGAGCGUGACGGCGCGAGCAGGUGCGAAAGCAGGUCAUAGUGAUCCGGUGGUUCUGAAUGGAAGGGCCAUCGCUCAACGGAUAAAAGGUACUCCGGGGAUAACAGGCUGAUACCGCCCAAGAGUUCAUAUCGACGGCGGUGUUUGGCACCUCGAUGUCGGCUCAUCACAUCCUGGGGCUGAAGUAGGUCCCAAGGGUAUGGCUGUUCGCCAUUUAAAGUGGUACGCGAGCUGGGUUUAGAACGUCGUGAGACAGUUCGGUCCCUAUCUGCCGUGGGCGCUGGAGAAUUGAGGGGGCUGCUCCUAGUACGAGAGGACCGGAGUGGACGCAUCACUGGUGUUCGGGUUGUCAUGCCAAUGGCACUGCCCGGUAGCUAAAUGCGGAAGAGAUAAGUGCUGAAAGCAUCUAAGCACGAAACUUGCCCCGAGAUGAGUUCUCCCUGAGACUUUAAGUCUCCUGAAGGAACGUUGAAGACGACGACGUUGAUAGGCCGGGUGUGUAAGCGCAGCGAUGCGUUGAGCUAACCGGUACUAAUGAACCGUGAGGCUUAACCUUACAACGCCGAAG